rnacentral:rRNA from 1 species
GACGAACGCUGGCGGCGUGCUUAACACAUGCAAGUCGAACGGAAAGGCCCUGCUUGCCGGGUACUCGAGUGGCGAACGGGUGAGUAACACGUGGGUGAUCUGCCCUGCACUUCGGGAUAAGCCUGGGAAACUGGGUCUAAUACCGGAUAGGAGCCAUUUUUAGUGUGAUGGUUGGAAAGUUUUUUCGGUGUAGGAUGAGCUCGCGGCCUAUCAGCUUGUUGGUGGGGUAAUGGCCUACCAAGGCGGCGACGGGUAGCCGGCCUGAGAGGGUGGACGGCCACAUUGGGACUGAGAUACGGCCCAGACUCCUACGGGAGGCAGCAGUGGGGAAUAUUGCACAAUGGGCGCAAGUCUGAUGCAGCGACGCCGCGUGGGGGAUGACGGCCUUCGGGCUGUAAACUCCUUUCGCUAGGGACGAAGCUUUUUGUGACGGUACCUAGAGAAGAAGCACCGGCUAACUACGUG